UAGGGAAUCUUCCGCAAUGGGCGAAAGCCUGACGGAGCAACGCCGCGUGAGUGAUGAAGGUCUUCGGAUCGUAAAACUCUGUUAUUAGGGAAGAACAAAUGUGUAAGUAACUAUGCACGUCAUGACGGUACCUAAUCAGAAAGCCACGGCUAACUACGUGCCAGCAGCCGCGGUAAUACGUAGGUGGCAAGCGUUAUCCGGAAUUAUUGGGCGUAAAGCGCGCGUAGGCGGUUUUUUAAGUCUGAUGUGAAAGCCCACGGCUCAACCGUGGAGGGUCAUUGGAAACUGGAAAACUUGAGUGCAGAAGAGGAAAGUGGAAUUCCAUGUGUAGCGGUGAAAUGCGCAGAGAUAUGGAGGAACACCAGUGGCGAAGGCGACUUUCUGGUCUGUAACUGACGCUGAUGUGCGAAAGCGUGGGGAUCAAACAGG
rnacentral:rRNA from 1 species